rnacentral:rRNA from 1 species
GCUAAUACCGGAUAACAACAGAUGAUGCCUAUCAACUGUUUAAAAGAUGGUUCUGCUAUCACUCUUGGAUGGACCUGCGGUGCAUUAGCUAGUUGGUAGGGUAACGGCCUACCAAGGCGAUGAUGCAUAGCCGAGUUGAGAGACUGAUCGGCCACAUUGGGACUGAGACACGGCCCAAACUCCUACGGGAGGCAGCAGAA